UUUGCAUUUGCCAUUAGGGCAUCAGCCUUUCUCAAGAGGAAAAGAAAUCAACAACUGUUUUUCUUUACUUUCAUUUUCUGAUUCCAAAUAUUCUUUUAUUUUGAGUGGGUAGCACUGGGUAUCAGUUCUUUUUAUCCCAUUCACUAGUAUAAUAACUAGCUUUUAUUUUUAUACCCACUUUUAGAAGCCAGAAAAUACAUGAGUUCUAAGCAAAGAACAUUUAAUAAAACUUAAACAAAAAUAGCAACCACCUAAUUUUGAAGACUUGGGAAGAAUACACCAGUUAGGGAAGGAGUUUUCGAUAUAGGAAAUAUAGCAUGUUCAGUGGUGGUUGGGUCUAAACAGAAUAUUGUGAGUUUGGGACUGAUCUAAAGCUACAUUUAUGUCCUAGAAUUAGAAAGGUUACAGACUGUGAACUUCUUAAUCCAGACAGAACCAUGGGAAGUGUUUACAUCGCACACUCCAAAAAGAGAGGAAAUUCUCUCAAGAAGCAAGUCUCUCAUUUUUGUGAAGGGACCUGUGUAAGAUUCUGAGUUCAGAACAAAAGAAAAAUCCUUUACUCGAUCUGAAAUACUUCUUUUCUAACCAAGUGUAUUAAUAUUUAUUUUCUUUCUUCAUUUUCCCCUAAAAUUACAUUUAAAAUUGGUUAUGUUUCCUUAAGUAAACUAUUUGAAAUUUUAAUGCAAAGACUAGGCACCUGAUUCUCUCUCUGUCUCUGUCUCUCUCUGUCUCUGUCUCUCUUCCUCCCUCCCCCCUUUCUCUUUUUCUCUAUCACUCUUUUUCCAAAAAACCUAGGAAUGUAAUAAAAGUGAAUGAGAGCUCAAUUUUCUUUGGGUUGUUUGCCUCCAAAAGGAACCUGUGCAUUUCUCCAGACUCCAACAGUCACAGAACCCAGGUGCCAACUGUCACAUUCUAUAAUUCUAUAUAUCUGCCUGAUGGUUUCCCUGGACUCCAUUUCCCUCAAUGCAAUCCUUUUGAGAGGUCUAGACACUGGCUAAAUCUCAAAAUACAUAGUUCAAGAAUGUUCCCUCAGGAAGUGUGAGGUCCUGGGAAGACAUAGGAGCCUAGUAAAAAGAAAAGUGAGCAAGGUAUCAGGAAACCUAGACCUCAAAACCCAAACUUAACCCAUAGCCAUUCCAUUAAUAUAUGAGGCAUCAGGCUGAAGCUUCAAGAAAGAAUAGGGACAGUGUGAGGACCAAGUUUCCCUCUCAGGAUGUAAGAGGGAGAGAAGCAUAUUUGCCCCAUUAUUUUAUCCAGAUUACUGAUCUAGUGGACCAUUUGGUCAAGGUUAAAAUUUGGAAGAAUUCUCAUUCAUACUAAUGUCCAGGGAAAAUUUUUUAUAAUUGUGAGGACCAGACUACUGCAGAAAGAUGAUGGGUGUAGCCUAAAUUUCAUUAUAUUUAAGACUUUGGGUCAGGGAUACAUCUGUAGAGAGCCUCUAGGCCAUUAUUUAGUCCUAAUCAACAAGUCAAAAGUAUUGGACCAGAGUCUCAGCUGGUCCUUUACCAUGUAUUGGCCAAUGGACGGAGAUGACUUUUUCCUACUUUCCAUGCUCUGUUCAUUGGUGCCUUUAUCACAAGAAGAGAAAAAGUGUCAAUUUUCAGUUAACUACAGGAUCAAUAUUUUAUUUUACUUACUAUUAUUAUUAUUCCAAAUGUUUACACAACCAAACAUUUCCAUAUAUAAAGAAAAAGAAGUUAUUACACAAAUGAAAUCACAAAUCUAUAUAUUUAGCUUAUUUUUCUUCAUUUAUUUAUUAUAUAUUAUAGCAUUUAUUUAUUAUUAAGCAUAUUUAGCUUAUUAUAGCUCCUGUCUACAAGUAUCUCAGCCCUUCUCCAACUUCCCUAUCUAAAUUCCCAUUGGAUAAUGUCAGAGACCAACAUGUUCAGAUAAAUUAAGUCUUUCAUGUCUUAUUUUUCUUUUCACUUUUUUAGUUCUGUGGCUGUGUAUAAUGUUCUCCUCCUUCUACUCAUUUCGCUUUUCAUUAUCUUAUGUAGAUCUGUGUGGAACAGGGAGCACAAACAAUGGACCCCUCCGUUUAAAUGAAUACAUAAUCUCAGAGUCAGAAGCCAAAGUAUAAGACAGUAGCUUAUUGUACCUUCUUAAAAAGACUUAGCUCUGGCUAGAGAUGGGUUCUGGAAAUCACAGCACAUGGGUCAGGGUCCCAGUCCACAGCUCAAGUGUACACAGACCUGGGAUGUGACUGACAAACCUGAGUAUGCAAACCUAAACAUUCCUCAGAGAGAUCUCUGGUGGUCAUGUGGAAGGACCACGUGGAAGCAAGUCUUGUAUAACUGGACAGGGACUUGUGCCUUGGUGAAAUUGGCCAUUCCAUUUAUGAUGGUGUACUUGAACCAUUCUACCCAAUCAAAUCAGUUAAGGAAAAGGAGAGAUGCCUAAAUUUCUCCUCAUGGCUCCUUUGAUUAAUCAGUCUAUUUAGAUGCAAAGGGAGUACUGGGUUCUUUGAGAGGCUAGGAAUAUCUUUCUCUCCAUCACUUGCAAGAAUAGAGAAGUUAAAUGGAAUGAGUAGCCAAACUGGAAGGAAAAGAAAUUGAUUUGUGCACUAAAGAAGAUUGAUUGGGCCCAUAGCAGAUUCAGCCUCUUUGGGUAUAGAUUGGGUUUUCAUAGCUUUUUAGGUGGACUUAAAGAACCCAGGCUCCUACAGUGGACAAGAAAUGGGGUUGGCAGGUAUGAUUGGUGGGGAAGGAAGAGUUUGAAGAUCUCAAAAUCUCAGAAACUGAUAAAGAUCAAGUUUGGUCCUGUGGGAAAAUACAUUUCUCUUUGAUUAGUAAUCUCUAAAAUAGUGGAGGACUCCUUUAAAUUACAACCAAUCCUAUGAUUUGCUUUUAAGGGGAAUAAAGUACCACCUGAGGGUGUCUAUUGACACAACCCCACAGCUCAGUUUCUUUGACCUCAGACAAAAUGUUUACCCCAGAUGUGCCAGAUUCAUGUUCUUCUUCCCCUUCAACCCUGCUCCCUAUUCCUAAAGGCAACAAUGGAGUUGUCUCUUCCAUUCUUGUGGUAUUUACAAUAAUUUUUUGCAUCUUGUGGUCUAGUCUUCAGCAGCCGCCUUGGUCCAGGUCCUUCUCAAAAGUUUUUGUCACCAGGUCAAGUCAGGGUUGAUACCAAUCCUUUGCAAUGGAAGCUCUUCCUUAACAAAUCACUUUGCUCUUUCACUGUUCUGUCAACAUCUGGCUUCCACUGGGUAGUGUAUACUCCCAGGAGACAGCCCUGACCUUUUUGCCUGGACCUUGGCUUUUAAUUUGUGUACUGAGCUCCCAGCAAGGCAACUCCUUUUACCAAUGCAGCUUGGUACCUCUUCUGCAAUUUCCACUUUUAGAGAGUUCCUUGGGGCACUGAGAGAUUAAAUGACAUUACAUUAGCCUCUGAAUGACUUACCUGGGUUCCCACCACAAAUAUGUAUCAAAAAUAGGACUUGAAGCUACUUAACUCUGACUCUGAGCAGGAUUAAUGCAAAGUAUAAAAAAUGGAUUAUGACUUAUCUGAAUGAAAAGGGUAUAGGUGAAACAUCUCUGCCACACAAAUACCACGCAGAUGCCUCAUGCUUACCUCUACAGGCAUUGACCUCACUUCAAGGCUAAAGCUGUUUUGUGUGAAGACUAUAAGUCUGAACUGUAGACAAAUCCUUCAUAUACCUUUAAUCCCAGAUUGGGGUCACUGCUGGCCUAAUAAAACCAAAUCACCAGACUAAAGUUGAUUUCAUCAAGUGAGAGAUGCUGGGCCAAGCCUGCAGCUGCCUGGUUGCAGCAGGGCACAACCUCUGGCACUGGGCUACAGGCACACAGUGAUUCCACCAAGCUACUCAGUUUAGCUUGUGCGGUGAUAUGAAAACAUUCAAUCUGAAGAAAUGUGUCAAGGGUAAAGCUUGGGAGGGAUCACCUUCUGUCCUGUCUUCUAGCAAUUAUUUUUCUGCCACAAAUGUGGAUUGACAGUCACAGCUGUGCCAUCACCAUGUCCCCUAGACCAGGUCAAAACAAAGGCCAUACCUGAGGGUAUGGGCCAAAGAAGAAUUGGCCAAUAAAUAGAAAGGUGGGCCCAAACCAUCUUACUAUUUUUCAGAGUUACUAACCAGAUAAGGUAAGCUCUAAGAGGCAAGGUCCUGGUUACAAUGUUAGGGACACUUAAGAGCCAUUGUUUUCAUGGCACUUGGCACUAACCAUUAACCAUUAAACUGAGGUUAUACCAAUUCUAAGUAACUAGGCCAUAAAUCCAUAAUCCAAGGGAUUAAUCAAAAGGACAGAAUGUUUCAUUGGUACCAGGCCUUGUCAGUAGGAAGAUCUCAAGUGCUGACAACUAGGCUUGAAUACUAGGAUAAAAAUCCACUGUGACACAACCACUGGGCUAAAGCCAAUAUAGGUCCACAGCACCUCCCUGAUGUUGUGAUAGGCUGUGACUGCUAGCCCACAGAGAUGAGGAGAUUGAGUUUGCAAUAAGCCUUGGAAGCCUGUCCCAUUGAAAAGUUAGGCCUGAGCAAUGGAAUGAAGUUCAUUUUGGAGUUCGACCACUAGUCCCUUGUCCCUACUGGAUACCUAUCAUUAGGCACUGACUGUCCUAUAUAGAGGCCUAGUUUUCUGGACCUCCUCAUCUCUGUGUCUUAACAAUCAAACAAAGGAAUCCAGAUCCCUGGACAACAUCUCCAUUGGCCCUGGACCACCAAAAAGGCUAUCUGGAGCUCUGGAAUUCAAGCGCAUCUGUGCCCUUCCUUACUAACAAGACUUGGUUGUACCAGGCCCUUGUUCCUGGGCCAAACUUCCAUAACUCUACCUGGCCCUGAUCAUUGGCUUACUGCGUAUAUUUGCUCAUCUCAGCACUACCCAGUCCUACAUUAGAUUCUAAUGGUGUUAGGCAACAAUCUCCCUGAUCUGGAUCACUGUGGAAAAACUCUAGAUUAACAAAAUGCUCAGAGAAUACUUCCAGCUAGUCUGUAUGAUCAGGCACAGCAGUCCAAACAAUUUAACAGAACAAAGUCAUUCCUGUACUAUUUCCAAGCCACUAGGCUGAGGCUCUGACCACCAUGCUGAGUUUGCACUGAUGUUUGACCACUAAAAAGAGGCUCCAUUUUGCUUCCAAAACCAGCUGCAAACUAUACAAAUAGAGAAGUUUUGUGGUGAUUAGAUGACAUCAAAUCAUACACCUUUGGGAAGGGGGUAACUACCUACUGUUAAUGGCACAAUCAAUUCUGUCAAAAAAUGGAAAAUGAUAUCUAUAAGCAUAUCCUCUCACAGAAAGGGGGAUGUGCCAUUUAUCACUUUGGUCAACAUGUCAGCUAGUUAUAUGGUCUGCUAAUUUUUGUCUUCUGGAUCCCAAAUGACAGUCCUAUGUUUGGGGAAUUAAAUAUACUUCUCAAGUAAAAUUACUGGAUAUUACUUCAUCUCUGCAUGGUUCUGAAAAGAGUGGGGUGAAAUUUUUUUCAAUAUUUCCACCCAAAUAAGGAAUCUGAUCUUAGCUGUUUUAGCUGAAUUUCUCUUAGCAUGUCUGCAACAUAGACCCGACUGGUUAUAACUACUUCUUGAUGGCCGCAGAUAUUGCUUAAAUUCAAACACUUAGAGAAGCAGAAAACAGAAAUUUGGAGAGAGAAGCAUAGCAGCACCCAUUUCAAAGCUAGAUAGCAUAGAAGUGAAAGGAUUGAUGGCAAAAAGAAAAAUUUCAACAAGGAUAACAUAGAAAGAACAUUGAAGAGAAAAAGAAAGAUUGAUUAAACUUGAUAAUGAAAAAUCAGCAAUCUAUUAAAGAAGUUAUCACAAUAUAGGUAUGUAAAUGAAAGCAAGACUGAGCCAAAAUCUACAGAGAAUAAGAGGUCCCCUCAGAAAUUACAGCAAAGCAUUCUCAUUAAGAUCUGAAAUUAUUCAGACGAUACAUAGCAUAAGUAAAGAUGAUUAAGAAGUAAAGAUGAAAAUGAGAUUUCUCAAGGAACAAAUAAGUUGAAAAAAGAGAAUGAUGAAUUUAGGAAAAGGGACAAACACUCUCCAAAUAGUAGCUUCUUCAAUAAAGAAAAUGACAGAAUUAGAAUCCAAAAAUUUCUAGAAGGAAAUUAAGCAAAUUUAAAAAUACAGCAAGAUUGGAGUUAUGCUUAUCUUAUGCUAUCUGAGAAUAAUUCUGGAUAUGGUAGAAUUUUUAAAAAUCCUAACCUUCCAUCUUGGAAUCAACACUCUACAUUUGUUCCAAGGCAGAAGCACAGUAAGGGCUAGGCAAUGGUGAUACUAUAUAACUCAGGAAAUCAAGCAGGAAACUUACCCAGAUAUAUUGGAAGUAUGCGGCCUAUUAUAUAAAUCCAAAAGAUGCCAAUAGAUAUUGAAAAUUUAACACACUUGGAAGCAUUAUGGUCCAUAUAAGUCUUUCAGGAUUUUUCUGAAAUCCUAUUCCUUGUCAUUUGAUAUAUUCCAUUACAACCAUAUACCACAACUUGGUUAGCCAUUCCCCAAUGUAUAGACAUCCCCUCAAUUUCUAAUUCUUUGCUACCAUAAAAGAGCUUCAAUAACCACUUUUGUAUAAAUAGAUUCUUUUCCCUUCGUUUGAAUCCCUUUGGGAUACAGAUCUUAUAGUGUUAUUGCUGGAUCAAAGGCUAGGCAGUUUUAGAGUCCUUUGGGCUUAACUCCAAAUUGUUCUCCAGAUCAGAUCACAGCUCCACCAGCAGUGCAUUAGUGUCCCAAUUACUGACAUCCCUUCCUACAUUUAUCAUUUUCCUUUUCUGUCAUAUUGGCCAAGGUGACAGGUAAGAGGUCUUACCUCAGAGUUGUUUUAAUUUGCAUUUCUCCAAGGGUGAUUUAGAGAAUUUUUUUCAUAUGCUAUACAUAGUUUUUAUUUCUUUGCCUGAAGACUGCCUGUUCACAUUCUUUAGACCAUUUAUCAAUUGGAGACACAGAAUUUGAUAAAUUUGGCUCAGUUCAUUAUAUAAUUGAGUAACGAGCUAUUUUGAUCUUAUCUUAGUGACUAGUGUAAAGAUAUUGGUCUAUACCUAGUUUCUGUCAAACUACUUUCCGGUUGACUCCAAACUUUUUACUACAUAAUGUUUUCUUAACCCAAAAGCCUGGAUCUAUGCUUUUGUCGAAUACAAAGUUGCUUAUAAUCUUUUACUACUGUUAUAUGUCUGCUCUGAUCUACUGAUCUACCUUUCUAUUUCUAAGCCAGUACUAGAUAGUUCUGAUAAUUACUACUUUAUGCAGUUUAAAAUGUGGUACUGAUACACAUUUCUUUUACAUUUUUUUCAUUAAUUCAUUUGAUAGUCUUGAUCUUUUGUGCUUUCAAAUGAAUUUUAAUCAUUUUUCUACCUCAAUAAGAUACUUUUUAGUAAUUUGAUUGAGAUGAUAUUGAAUGAGUAGAUUAGAUAGGAUUGUCAUUUUAUGUAUAUUAGCUCUGCCUAUUCAUGAAGAAUUAGCAUUUCUCCAAUUAUUUAGGUGUGAUUUUAUUCGUGCAAAAAGUAUAUGUUCAUGUAGUUCCUGGGUUUGUUUUGGCAAGUAAACUUCCCAGUAUUUUAUUUAUCUGUGGCUAUUUUAAAGGGAAUAUCUCUUCCCAUCUCCUCUUGAGGCACUUUGCUAGUAAUAUAUAAAAAUAUUGAGGAUAUAUUUUGUAUUCUCAUGCUUUAAUAAUAUUUAUAGUUUCAACUAACUUUUUAGUCGAAUUUCUAGGAUUUUCCAUAUAUACCAUUAUAUCAUGUAGGGAAAGAUAGUUUUAUUGUCUCUGCUCAUUUCGAUUCCUUUUUCUUCUCCUACUGAUAUUGCUAGAUUUUCUAGUACUAUGUUGAAUAAUAUGACAAUCGGCAUUCUUGCUUCACUUUUGAAUUUAAGAAGGCUUCGAAUUUAUCCCCAUUACAGAUGAUACUUGUAAUUUUAGGUUGAUACUAAUCAUUUUAAGGAAAGACCCAUUUAUUCCUAUGCUUUCCAAUGUUUUUAAUAGGAAUUAAUGUUAUAUUUUCUCAAAGACUUUUUUUGCAUCUAUUGAAACAAUCAUGAUUUUUAUUACUUUUGUUGUUAAUAAAAUCUUGUUGUUAGUUUUCUUUAUAUUAAGUCAUGCUUUGUAUUCCUGGUAUAAAUUCCAUUUUGUCAUAAUCUUAGUUGCAAUUUCCUAACUACUAUUUUAUUUAAGAUUUUUGUAUCCACACUGAAAUUGGUCUAUAAUUUUCUUCCUCUAUUUUUGCUCUUCUUUGUUUAGGUAUCAGUACCAUAUAUUGAAUAAAUGGAGUUUGGUAAAACUCUACCUAUUUCAAAUUAUUUAAUAUUGGAUUUAGUUGAUCUUUAAAUAUUUGGUAGAAUUCGCUUAUGAAUUCAUCUGGUCCUGACUUUUUUAAAAUAAGAAGUAAUAUAAUUCUCUCCUCCCCACAGCUUUCUUUUUUCUUUGAAUUCAUUGAUUUUAUUUGUACAAAAACUAUUUUUAACAUAAUCAAAAUUGUCCAUUUUAAAUCUCAUAAUUCUUUCUGUCUCUUAUUUGGUCAUAAGUUCUUCCCUUAUGCACAGAUCUGACACAUAAACUAUUCCAUGCUCCAUUAAUUUUGCUUAUGGUAUCACUCUUUAUGUCUAACUCAUGCACUCAUGUUGAACUUAUCUUGGUAUAUGGUAUGAAAUAUUGAUCUAUCCACAGGGUCUGACAUACCAUUUUCCACAUUUCCCAAGAGUUUUUUUUUUAUCAAAUAGUGAGUUCUUGUCCCAAAAGCUUGGAUCUUUUGAUUUAUCAUACAAUAAAUUACUAUGGUAAUUUAUUUCUAGGUAUCUGUGUACCUAGUCUUUUCCAUUGAUCUACCACUCUAUUUCUAAGCAAGUAUCAGAUUUUCUAAAAUUUUCCAUUGAAUUUGUUUGAAAUUAAAAUUUAACUUCUCUAUUGAAAUGAAUAUUAAUUUAUAUUGAAUGAGUUGAACCAGACUCAUAUCUUUUCUACGAGAGGUGCUAAGUAAAGAUGAGUAAGGACAUAUAAUCCAUGUCCUCAAGCAGUUAACAUUCUACUUAUUCAGUGAUACAUAUAACAGCUUUCUGAGUAAUAAAAAAAAGUCAACUCAAUCCAUACUAUAGCUUUAAAGUGUUCCUUAGUUUACCUUUGAAUGUCGUCCUGGGUGGGGGUGAGGGAACAGAGGGAGAUGGGGGGCAAGUAAUGGAAAGGGGAAAAUGGAAACAUGACUGUUGAUAAUUUAGGUGAAGACAUCUUUGGUGGUAUGGAUGAGUGGGGUGUAGUAAAGGACGGACUAGCAACAAGUUUUGUGUCAGCUAAAGGGAAGGGCUCUAGUGGCAUCAGAGUAGGGUUUGGUUCUUCCAUUACAUGUUUCUUUUUAAAAUAUUCCUAAACUGGAACACAAAAUAAGAUCAGGAAUUAUUCAUUCACAGUAAAGGAAGUAUUUCUCAAUAUAUCAUUCUGAAAAAUUUCACUCAAUUGGGUUUGCUUGGUCAAAAACUUAUUUCAUGAAAAGUACAUGGGUAUCAAUAAUUGUCUCCAACUUUAAAAAUGAAAUUGUGAAUGUAAAAAUAAAAUCUCACCACCAUUGUCAUGAGAGGAUUCCUCCACAUGCUUUUUUUCCUUCUGGCACACCUGGACCUUCCUUAACAGGAAGCAAAACAUUUAUGUAUUGAUCUUCAUGUCAAAAUAGUCACUAGGUAAAUAUGAAAUUUGGGGGAAAGAUUUUUUUUUAAAGAUCAUUCUUUCCAUGUGUAAAGAACUGAGAAGAUUGUGAGUGAGCCCAUACAAAAUAACCUUCACUUUUUUUUUUCAACUCUUACCUUCCAUCUUAGAUUCAACACUUGGUAUUGACUCCAAGGCAGAAGAGCCUUAAGGGCUAGGCAAUGGGAGUUAAGUGACUUGCCUAGGGUCACACAGCUAGAAAGUACCUGAGGCCAGAUUUGAACCUAGGACCUCGCAUCUCUAGGCCUGGCUCUCAAUCCCAUUGGUCCCCCGAGUUUGCCCUGAUAACUUCACUUCUGAACACUUUUUAUUUAGCUCACCAUUGGAAGAUUUAUUUACAUUUGUGAUAUUAAAGUGAAAAUUUAUGAGUAUUAACAAAACUAGAUGAGAAUUUUAAAAAUUCAAAGCUUUUGAAAUGUAGAGAAAAUCAAAGAAAUACUUUUUAAGCUUAACAAUAUGAAAACAUGUAGAACAACAAAAGGGGAUGUUUUCUGAUUUCAAGUAUAAAUUUGUUAUAGAAAAGAAAUAUUUUAUUCUUUAGGCACACAAUAAAUGGCAAUAUUGUUCUAGACUUAGAAACAAAUAACAAAAAAGUCACUGAGGUCAGAAAAGUGUUUAAAUUUAAAAUUAAUUAAAAUAUUUAAAUUAAAUGAGAAAACAAAUAAAAAUUAUAGCAAUUAAUUUUGGUGCAUUUCUGUUGUGAGUGACAACUUGUGAGUCCUUAUAGCUUUGAUUACAUUAAUAUUUAUUAAUAUAAUUCUUUAUGAACCUCGUAAAACAUAUUCUUAGUGGUAUUUCAUAGUAAUAUAUUACAGAUUGAGAUACAUCCAUUCUGGUCAAUCUUGUUGAAUCAACUAAAUCACAUGGUUUAGAAGCAUCAUUAAAAGCCUAUUCUUCUCUCAGUCUUCCAGGACAAGACUCACUUGACCUAAUCCCUACAGUCAGUGAUGUCAUGUGAACCCAAAGACUAUAGAAACAAUUCUAGCCAAAACAACUAACUGUGGUCAAUGAAUUGUAUAAAUUAAUCAACAUUGAAAGAAAGAUCUGUUUUGAGAAACUGCUAAGAAAUCAAAGUGGGGGGAAGGUGAUUAUGUGCCUUUACUAUUUUUGUAAUAGGACUCAUUUUGUUCUGAAUGCUUUAAAUUAUUAUUUAUUGUUUUCAAAAGAUCAUUUACAGAGAUAUUUAUCAUUAGAUUUUGUUGUUCUUUAGUUCCCUAGACACUUUAAAUUAGUCUUAUGCAUUUAAUUUUUUAAAAAAAUGAUUAUAUACUUCAUAACAUCAAUAGUAAGAAUUUAAAUAAAUGCAAAAAUUACGUGUAAAAACAAAAACUCCACCUUGUUAUAAUUUGUUCAAAGUAUGUUCAUUAUAUAUGCUAAUAUAAAUAUCCUCUGCUUUUGAGAUCCCUUUGGAUUGGCUUUACUUUGAUACUUUUUUCCUCUUUGUGCCUUUUUUUAUAUAAUCAUAGUAUGUAUUAUUCUUAUUCUCUUCUUUUUUUGUCUCUACAGAUAUUUCCCUUAUUUUCUUUAUAUUUCCAAUAUUCAUCAUUUAAAAUAACAUAAUAUAAUCCAUCACCUUAAAAUAUCACAAUCUAUUCAGCCAUUUCCUCCAACGUUACAUUUGUAUUAUUUCCAAUUAUUUUGUCAUUACAAAGCUCCUAUGAUUAUUUUUACCCACACACAGUUUUUCUCCCUCUUAAUAAUUCUUUAGGGCCUAAUCCUAGUAAUAGGAUCCCUACAUUAAUGAGCAGGAAACAUUUUACAAUUUUUAAUGUAUAUUUCCUUUUUGUUUUCAAAAAAAAAAUCAUAGUUGCUCUAGAUUUGUUUCUCCAUGUACCUAUAAGCAUUUAAUUUGAUCAACUUAAUUGGUCUAUUUUUCAGAUAACAUACAUUACAAAGAUCAUAUUUACCUAGAUUGAUUUUUUGUUUGUUGCCAGGAUCACACUUUUUCCAAGACCAACUCUUUCCAACUUGGUCAUACCCAUUAGAACUUUUUUUGAAUGCCACAACCCCAGAGUGCAGGAUUAUCUCCAUACUAUGAUGAGUGUUGAAGUAAAACUUAGGCAGACUAGUUAUACUCUCCGUAUCAUUGUUGGUCUCACCAGAAAUCAUGUUUGGAUUAUGUGAAUGCUCAGGCUUAGAGUAGUAACUGCUUGCCUAAAGCAGGUAUAUAUAGCAGUCUAGUCUUGGGUAUUUUGUAAAUCAGUCUUCAGUUCAAAGCUGAUUCAUAUAUGUCUAUAGGAUAAAGUAGCUGCUCACCUUCCCUGAUGACUUCUGUCACCUUCAAGAAUAAUAUUUUGUUCACUCCCUUCUUUUAUUUGCAGUUCUUCCUUACUUUUACCAGGUACAUUUGCACCAAAUGUAACAUUAUCUACAGUGAUAAAGAGUUCAAAUACGAAUUUCAAAAUUUAUAGCAAUAAGAAAUGUCAGGCAAUUCCCUCAUGGUAGCAGCAUUUUAAAAACAUGCAUUACUCCUUAAUCUGCAAAAGUAUAAUGUCAAUUAAAGGUCAUCACUGGUGUAUGUUAGAUUUAAAAUGGUUGAGGUCUUAAACUGUAGUGAUUAAAAUAGUGGAAGAUAUAAAUUGUGAUAGAUAUAAGAGAGGAUGAGUAAAUUUGACCACAGAAAUAUGUUUCACUACAGUGUCUUGGUUUUUAAAUCAAAUGUAAGGUGGUCGCCAAGGAAAUAUUCCCAAUUUUCAAAUACCCAAGUCAACUGGGUUUAUAGAGAUUUUAAUUAAUACAAAUGUGGAAUUAAAAAAAGAAAGAGAGAAAAAAGAAAUAAGUAUGAAGGACCUUAAGUGAACAUGGCCUAGACCUGAGUCUUAAGAGAGAGAGAUCAGUAAGUCAGUCUCUUAACACUCACCACAAGGUCUGUCUAAGCAAGGAUUCUAGUGACACCAGGCCAGCUCCAUCUCAGCUGACUUCACCAGAGAGAGUUCCAAAGGGCCUCUCUCCAGAGCCUCCAGAGGGACAGAGUCCCCUCAGAGGAGCUCCAGCGAGAUCUCCUUAGAGACUGUCCUCUAAGAGCUUCCCUUCUCCAGAGCCUCUCUCAAGAGAUUCUUCCCAAGCGAUCAUCAUCAAAGAUCCUCCAAAAGGAUUUUUUUUCUCAAGAGAUUCUGCUUCUUAUAUAGGAGGUUUUUCUCCUAUGUCACCUCCCCUAAGUCCUUACAUCUACCAAUCACUGUAGAUGUUUUCCAAAGGACUGCCCAUCUGAAUUCUUGCUAAGUCGACAAAUCUCCUCAGUAAGUCUGAACCAGAAAAAGUUCUACUGUGUCAACUAAUCUCCUCAGUAAGUCUGAACCAGUGAAAACACAGCUGAGUCAACUAAUCUCAUUAAGAGAAAACUUGCCCGACCCUUUUAGGUACCUAGCAUCUCAUUGUAUCAAAUCUAAAAAACAGGCAUGGCUCAAAGAACUCCUUGCCUUAUUAUAAGCAUGGGUCCAAGUACUUUCUUUGUUUAGCAAGGAGUUUUCUCCCCUAAAGCAGUCUUAAGUAUGGGUGGAGUAGAGGUCCUCCCAUAGCAAGGAUUUUUCUCCUCUAAAGCAGUCUUAAGUAGGAGUGGAGCAGAGGUCCUCCCAUAGCAAGGAGUUUUCUCAUCAAAAUGGGGAAUGUUCCCAGUCCAAUGGGGAAAUUUUUAACAUUCACAAGUCUGAGAAAUUACAAGGUUUACAAUCCCCCCCUGAUGAUCAUUGGGAGACUUGUCUUCCCAUUGAUCAUUUAACAUAAUCAAUUUGUAAUCCUAAAUGCACUUCUAACUAUAUAUAUAUAUAUAUGUAUAUAUAUAUAUAUACACGAUAUUCAAAUUACUAAGAGGAAUUAGAAUAGUGAGGGAGGAAAUAGAAAAGAAAAGAAAGCAAAACCAAUGUUUUAAACCUAUGAAUUGAUGGACAUUUGUCACAAUUUUUACAAACAUAGCAAUCUUUCAACCUUGGUAUUUAAACAUAUUUUUUUAAACAAAGUAAAACUCAUCUUGGGUUAAGAACAUAAUCGAGAAAUCUAUAUAUCAUUCUGGUGCAAGUAAAGUAAUGAGCUGAAAAGUAUAAAUAAAGGGGUGCUCCUUUUUCUUGGAGGCUUUUUAGGGGUACAAAUGCCCUGAUAUUAACUGCCCAACUCCUAUUCACAUAUUUAGAAAUGCGGGAAGGUUGGGGGUUAUAAAAUGUAUUUCACUUCAGUUACUAGAAUGGGUCUUACCUCGUGGUAGGGGCAGACAAAAAUAACCAGAUUGUUAAAAAAAAUUCCAAAAAUCAUAUUUAAAAAACCCUUAAAAUCAAAUCAUUUGAGGUAUUUAGCACAUUAAAUUUUUCCAAGGUUGUUAAUACAAUUAUAAUCAGUUCUGAAGUCCAUCUAUCCUCGGCAAAAUAGAAAAAAGCUGUUUUUUCAUAUAUGGGCUUAUUCACAAUAAUAUUUGUUCAACACAGUUAUAGGGGGAAAACAACAGAAUUUUUAAAACUAAGUACAUUCAAAAUAAAUUCAAUCAACCUUCAGUUCAAGCAGAAUAAUAUUGAAUCCAGUAAUAUAUGAACUUAAAAUCACAAAGUUAAACCAUAACAAAAAAUGCAAUAGAAAUACAGAGAUUUUUAUAAACCAUUGGAGUCUGAAAUGCCUUAGAAUAUAGCCUUUAGUCUCUUCAAAGUUCCUUGGGUUCUUAUCCAUUUAAAUGUCUAUUGUCAGAAGGCAGAGUGGUAAGGGCUAAGCAAUGGGGUCUGAGCAAUCUGCUUGGGGCCACACAGCUGGGAAGUAUCUGAGGCAAGAUUUUAACCCAGGACGACAUGUCCUCAGGUCUGGCUCCCAGUUCGUUGAGCCACCCAUUUGCCCCUUCAAAGUUAAAGUUGAAUCUUUGUGCUGAAUCUUUCUUCUUGCACACAGGUGAAAUCAAUGAAAUUACCAGAACAGUCAAAAGGUAUCCUUUUAAACAGCCCAUUGCUUAAAAGUCUGUUUGAAAAGUCUGUUUCUUCUCUCUCCCCUGCUAUGAAACCCCUGUGGUCAAUAUCCCCAUCCACAUGGAGGCUUAGCCUAAGGGAAAAUUAUCCUUUCUCCUUUCCCUCUCGUUUCUCCCCUCCGCCCAUGUGGCCAAUACUGUUACCAGCUGGUCAAAAUGAGUCCUGAGCGAUCUGCUCCAAGGAUCUGGGUGAUGAGCUGUCUGGGUCAGAGGCCAGAUGGGUGAGAGACAGACCGCCAGGGUGGGUAGGGCCGGGAGCCAGAGUGCCGACAAACAGGGCCAGGAGCUCGGGUACCAGGUGAGAGGCCAGGAGCAGAAGCAGUUGCUGGAGAGGGCUGCAGGCAGGAGCUGAUCAAGAUGGUUUUCUAAAAGGCAUCUUGGAGAUACGUGGCUUAAAAAAAAUCCUCUAGGCUAAAAAAUUUGAGAAGUUCUCAUCCCAUCUGGGUCGCCAUCUGUAACAGUUAAAAUUUAGUAAUAUUGGGAGACUGAGGCAGGUAGAAAUUAGUUUCUCUCUGCAAGGAGUAUUAUAUUUUUUAGAGGUUUAUUAAGGAUUAAGGAUUAAAGAAUAUACAAGUAAGAAACAUGUGCCUAGGCCAGAGGCCUAGAAAAAAUAACCUCACAUCAUGGAAGAGACGCCUCUGCUCCAAAACGGAAGUCCAAAAGACCGCCAAAAACCUUUGUCACCAGCUUAAAUUCUUCCUCGAUCUCGGCCCACCUCAGAAUUCCUGUGAGAUUACAAAGCAUUUUGGGGAAGUGGCGCAAAGGAUUGUGGGGAUUGUAGUCCUGUAUUCGAGUCUAUUUUUUACAUGUACAAAGGAAUAUAAAUCUAAAUGGUAUCACUUCAUAAUCUUUGAGAAAUAGGAAGAGAGCAUACCUGAGGUUAGGGAUUCUAAGGAAACAGAGAUGACUUUUGAUAUGGCCUCCUCAAGUAACUUGAGUCUAACAAGUUACUCUGACCAAUCUACAAACGUAUUAGUCCAGAUAUUCUGUGCCUUAAUAAAAAUUAUUCUUAUUUGAGAGUUGUAAAAGGGACAUCUUCAGGCUGAUAAUUUUGGCCAUUGUUGUGGAUAAGGAUUGUGUAACAGACACUCUCUCUUCAGCAAAUGGGAUGGGUUCUGUACUUGUUGAACAGACAUUGGGGCCCAAGAUUUUAUAUUAUUCAUUAUAAAGAGAUGGCUUUAAAUUAAUUUUGAAAAGUUUUUAAAGAUUAGGCUAUUGUUGGCAAAAAAAAAAGUGUUAACUAAAAUGAGACUGAGUCUCCAUUGGUCCAAUGAAUAUAUAUUUUUUAUAAAAUGUUCUAGUAGAAACUUAUUAUUAAAAAGGUCUCUCAAAAGUAUAACAAAUAAUAUAGAGAACUUUUCUACAUUUUCUCCAUCACAGAUGUUCUGAGUUGAAUAGAAAGACAACACAUUUAAAUAUAAAUCCCUGUUUUAUAUUAUUUAAUUUAAUUUUUGUUUAUUUAGUAAAUUAAUUUAGAAUAUAUUUUCCAUGGUUACAUGAUUCAUGUUCAUUCCCUCCCCUCCUUCUACCCUCUCCCACAGCCAAUGAGUGAUUCCAGUGGUUUUUACAUGUGUCUGAUGAAGACCCAUUUCCAUAUUAUUAAUAUUUUCAAUAGAGUGAUACAUCCCCAAUCACAUCCCCAUUGAACCAUGUAAUCAAGCAAUUGUUUUUUCUUCUGUGUUUCUGCUCCCGGGGUGUAUGGGGUGUUCAGAGAGGGGUAGUAUCUCUGGUAUGGAGGGCUUGUCGUACCCUCCUAGGGUAGCUCUCCAGCCUCUGACCCCCACCUGACACCCAGCUCUCACUUGUGGCUCCCAGUAGCUGCUAGCAUGCAGCAGCGGCCACACCCCGGGCAACGGCUUCGACAGGCUGGCUAAACCUUGGGAGAGUAGCCAUCGGGUCGUUGUGGACCCCUGGUGAACUAGGGCUUUGCUCACCCAGCAUGUAAAGACUGUUUCGGCAGAACAGGAGGAAGAAACCAACAAGAAGGUUCAAUGGCUGAGAGGGCAUCGCAGCAAGGCACUGUGGAGUGCUUAGGGCAUGUUGGAGCACAAAGGACAACACGGCCAUCCAAUGCAGCUGAGGAAGUCUCCAGGUGCAACGAUUUUUCAUGCCACUGGACCCAGGCUUCCAACGCCGAGAGAGUGGGACUGUCUCUGUGCAUCGUUUCCACUUAAAUCUCUUUGAUGCACAAGUAUCUUUGUGCACACUCAUCUACAUCACAGAUGAAAGUGCACAAAGACAAUCGUCAUUUUUGGUUACCGAGAGACUACUACCAAAAGUUUCUGCUCCCACAGUUCUUCCUCUGAAUGUGGAUAGUGUUCUUUCUCAUAAGUCCCUCAGAAUUGUCCUGGAUCAUUGCAUACUGCUAGUAGAGAAGUUCAUUACAUUCGAUUGUACCACAGUGUGUCAGUCUCUGUGUACAAUGUUCUCCUGGUUCUGCUCCUUUUGCUCUGCAUCACUUCCUGGAGGUUGUUCUAGUCCCCAUGGAAUUCCUCCAGUUCAUUAUUCCUUUGAGCACAAUAGUAUUCCAUCACCAACAUACACCACAAUUUGUUCAGUCAUUCCCCAAUCAAAGGGCAUCCCCUAAUUUUCCAAUUUUUUGCCACCACAAAGAGCGCAGCUAUGAAUAUUUUUGUACAAGUCUUUUUCCUUAUUAUCUCUUUGAGGGGUAAACCCAGCACUGCUAUGACUGAAUCAAAGGGCAGACAGUCUUUUAAAGUCCUUUGGGCAUAGUUCCAAAUCACCCUCCAGAAUGGUUGGAUCAAUUUACAACCCCACCAGCAACUAAUUAAUGUCCUGACUUUCCCACAUCCCCUUCAGCAUUCAUUACUUUGCUGUCAUGUUAGCCAAACCACUAGGUGUGAGGUGAUACCUCAGAGUUGUUUUGAUAUACAUUUCUCUAAUUAUAAGAUAAAUCCUUGUUUCAAAUGAUAAAUAUUAAUAUUAUUUAGGAUAAGAAACUAUCUCAUAAUUAUCCUUUUUACCUGUGGAAGGUGUGUAGAUAGAAUUCAUUCCCCAAGGCUCAACCAACCCAGCUCAUGUUACCCACCAUUCCAUUUGCGUGCUUACACAGUGCUUACAGAUGUGAAUGCAUAUAGGGAGGGGGGAGUAAUUAGGGGUGAUGGAGGAUUAAAGUUUUCUUGUGGCACUGCCAUCUCUCUCUACUUCCCAGAAUGUGGCUGGAAAGUCCACACAUAUGGUCAAUUAGGUUAGAUUAGGCUUUAAUCUGCUUUCUCUAUCUUUAGUAUUAAUAAAACUAUGGAAAAAUAAGAACCUGGAGUUAUUGAUAUUGAUUUAAAUUUUACAAAGACCACUCAAAAAGAAAGAGAGUUAACUUAGGGAGAGUCAGACCCUAUCUAUCUUAUCAAAUUUUCACUCUUAUCAAUAUACAUUCUAUGAAAAACCUUUUAGAUGUCCUAUUGAAGCAAUGUAGAUGUUACAUUAGUUUGUGGAUAUGGCCAAAAUGAAUUAGAAUUUUUAGUAAUUCACAGAAUAUGCAAUGUAGAAAUAAAUGCAUAAUAUAAAUAAUAUGAAAUAUAAAGACAGAGAAAUCCUAUUUAUCAUAAACAAAAAAACCAAUGAGAGUCAAUUUAAAAUGUAGUUUCUGUUCUCUGGCAACACCAUAUCAUAGAGUGGGGAGAACUUUGGAAUUUUUAAGAUCUACACAUGAGAAAGAGUCAAGUCUGAAACCCUCAAUGGACUUCUGAGACAAUUCUAGUCCAAAAAAAUGGCACUCCCCAUCCCUAAAGUCAAAUAGGAAUUAAGUAAGGGUCCACCUACAAGUCCUAAAGAACAAGGAGAAUUUCAGCCUCUAACAUGUACAUUUAUUCAUGGAUUACUGAAUAACUCAUUGAACCUAUAUGUGCUUAAGGCAUCUGUCAGUAUAAAGUGGCAAGAGGAUGCCCCAAGUUCAACUUAUUGGUAAAAGGAAUUUUUCAGUAUGGGAAGUCUGGAUAUCAAUGCACUCACACUUUCUAUAAACAUCCUUAGCUUCUUUUCCUCUCUGAAAGGUCACUGACACAUAUGUACCCUUGCCUUUUUUUGACCUGCCAAACCCUUCACUUUUCAGGAAAUGAAUAGGUUUGCUAUCUUCCCAAAGAACAUUCUAAUCAAUUUAUAAGAGAAAAUAAAAUUCACCACUCAUAUUAAGCCUCUGUGUCUUCCUGAAAAAUUUUCUCUUAACAUCAUCAUUCUUACUUUUCAUCUUUUCUGUCAUCUUGGACUAGUGACAUUAGUGGAACCAUCAUCUAUAAUGAUAAAAGAGUUUAAAUGUGAUCUACAAAAUCAAUAAGAGAAAAACAAAAUAUUGGGCUAUGCCUCUAAAGAAUUAGGUUUUGGAAGUGUAAUGCAGUGGAUGAAUUAAUGGAAGAGUUUUUCAUACUGGGAAUUCAAUGUCUUAACUGAAAAAUCAGAGCCAAUAACAAAAAAAGGAGUACUCCUUAAUUAUCAUACGUAUAAGUCAAUUACAUAUAAUUCUUGUCAAAGUGGAUUGAAAUCUGAAACUUCUCUGUUAGCACUUUGUAACCAAUAGCAAAUACUAAGUUAUAUGUGAAAUAGAAUUGUGUAUUAAUUUUCAUGAAAGAGAAAUAAACCUGAUGCUUCCUCACUCAUGCCUUCUGAAUCCAGAUUAAUCCAGAUAUUUUGAGGAAUGGGAUUCUCAAGUCAUUAUUCUCCCAUUCCACUCAGUUGUGAUUAUGGUCAAGAAAGCUGGAGAACCAGAGAGAAAACAAGACAACCCUUAUCCUUAAGCAGUUUAUACUUUACUAUUACAAUGCUAUAAAUAAGUUAUUCUGGGUGAUCUACAUAUGUUUUCCUAAUCUAUCCUGUUCCUGAAUAUGGUUAUUUAGAGUUGCCUUGGACCCCAUUGUCUAAGGAAAGUGAAGGUUGAAAAGGGGACCUUUGAUAUAAGAUAUCAUGUAGUUUUUAACACUGGUGUGGAUCAGGGAUCACAUAACAGCCCUUCUAGAGUAAUUGAGAUAAAAUUUACAGAUAUGGUCAAUGUUGGCCUUUCAUGUUCCAGUACAUAAAUCUUUCUUGUGAAAUAUUCACAGGUUUUUGUUUGUUCAUCUUUAAUUUUUGAAGAGGACCAAUGCCAUCCCAGAUGAGGUGCUAACUUGUGCAUGAAUCGGAUUUAAAUGAGGUAGAAUUGCACCAAGUCUUUGGCAUUACACUCUCUUCAGAAGUCAUGGAAAACCAAUGGCAAGACAAAAAUCAAGACGACUGGUGAUGGUUCUGCAUGCAGUGUAUGACUUUGGUGUCUAAGCUCUAAGUGCUCUACAGAAUUUGUUUCGGCCAACUUCAUUGCCAUUAGAACAAAUUGUUCUCAUCAGUCCCUUUCUCAUGUUAGAUUUCCAGAUUAUAUUCUAACUAGGGAUAUGUAUUAUUCAUUUACAAAGACAAAUCCUCAAUAUAUGUCAUUUUGAAAGCUUUUUCUAGACAACUGAAGCCCAGCAAAGGUAAUGAUGAAACCCAGACUCACACAGGGUAUUAAGUGAGUCUCAAAAAAUAGUGAGAAUUCCUGGCUUCUGAAACACUGAAUAACUAACUCAUCAUUUGAAGCUAUCUGUGUCGCUUUAGGCAUCUGUCAGUAGAAAGUGGCAAGGUGUCCAAACUUCAGGUUCAUUAGUAAAGGGAGUUUUUGAAUCUGGGAAUUCCUGAUUGAAUUCAAUGCAAUUUCAUUCUUUAUCCUCUUCCUAAGUCUCCUUUUCUUUCUAAAAAGUUAACUAUUUCAUGUGUAUCCUUCCCUUUUUCUGGCUGCUAAUUUUUUUCAGGAGACAUAGGACAAUACUCAUACCCUUCCUCACACUUUCCUAGGGGUUGAAGAACUCAAGGAGACUGAUUUCUUUUCUAAAACAAUGGUUCUUAUGAUGAGAAAUAUCCGGAAAUUGCCAAUAGAUUAUACACAUAUGUUGUGGGAUGGUAAAUGGGCUACUAAUUCUCUCCUUUUUAAACUGAGCCUUAUCCUUCAGAAGUCUUUAGUGCCUUCUAAGUCUGGAAUCAGUGGAAUAGGCAUGUAGUCACAACCCUGAUGGAGGUAUGGUCUAGAAUAAGAUGACAAGAGUAGAGACAAUCCUGAAUGAGUUUAUUGAACUCAAUUCUCUCUCACAUUCAGAUGUUGAAAUAGUUAAAGCUGCUGCCUAUCUGUUCUGUCUAGACUUAAAUUAUGUAUUGUUUCCAGAGCACAACAAAAGCCUGAUAUCAGAUUCUUAUUAGCCUUCCAUCCUGAGACAGAAAUCAAUCUCUGCAGUCAUUGUCAUUGAACUAGAAGAUUUUGGAAUCAACUCUAGCCAAAACAAUGAGGUCCUAGGGAGUCUUUUAAUUAAUUGAUCAGUAUAUAAAGAGAGUUCCAUUUGGACAGACCACUAAAAAAACUGAAUGGGUUGGAUAUGAUGUUCCUCUCCAAUCCUGGCAGCUGGGCCAAAAACACUUUAAAGGCUACUAUUAUAAUGUUGCCUCAUGUUUAAAGUGUGGUCAAAAAUAUUUUUCAGAUAUUCACCCUUAAGUUUUUUGAGGGGAGAUGGAGUUAUGCUUCCAGGCACACACUAUUUAAAAUGAUCUUUUACACUUUGCUAUUUGGUCCUUAGUAAAAAGCUAAUUCUUAAUAGCAUCUGUGAGCUAAACUAGCAGCUCACCAUUACCGGUGAUCACUUGUGCCUUGAUCUUUAACAUCUGAUUCAAGCCCUCAUGGUUUCUCCUCUUCAUUUUUGAGAGCAUCAACUCCAAUAAAAAAAUAAAUGAUAGAGUGCAAAGGUGAAUCCUAAAAUCAUUUUGAGUAAUAAAAAUGUCAGACAAUUCCCUAAAACAAUAAUCCUCUGAAGUAUAGUUGAUUGGAUGAAUUAGUGGAAAAGUGUUCUACACUGCAAGUUUCUGCUAUGCCUCUUAAUCUCUAAAACUAUGGUACUGAUGAUGAGAAAUAUCCUGAAAUGGGAAAUCUAUUAGAAAACCUUUUUUUGCAGGAUUGUAGGACAAUCCUCUACUAAUUAAAGGGUGUCUUCUGCUUAAGAAAUAUUCAGUAACUCCUUUGCAUGCAGUUUCUGGAAUGGAUAUCAUAUCAUCAGCCUUAGUGAGGUAGGAAAAGUACUAAGUAGAUGAGAGAAGCAACAAUUCUGGAAGAAUUUCUUCUCGGGCCUAGAGAACUGGGAUAAAAUUAUGGCUCAAAUAUAGUUAGGAAACAGAAGAUAUUUCAUAAACCCAGAGUUUUGUUUUGUUUUUUUCUUUCGUAUUUCUGGAGAGUGGUUAUUUUCUUUAAAUGGGUUCAGUAUGUUUUCCUGAACAUGAACAUAUAAGAAAAAUUAAAUCUAUGUCUCUUGUGUAUGAUAAUGUGUAACUGUUCUUACAGUCCAGAUUAUGUGAAAUAUUUUUCAGUUUAUUGGAAUUUCAUAUGGAGCCUUUAAACUAAAACAAAUGCUUAGAAAAGGUGUUUUGUAGUAAUAAUUCAAGUAGAGAUGUUUCAUGAAUUAGGCACCGCUUCAGGAAUAUAAGAUUUCAUCUCUUAAAUCUUCCAACCCAAGGCACAUUUGACUUAAUCCCUCAACAGUUAUAUGGAUCUUAAACAUUUGUAUUGAAUACUCAAAAUACUUCUGAAUGAGAUAGAAUUAAAUGUGCUAUUCUCAGAAUGAGCAUCCAGCUUACACCUCCAAUUAAGAAUGGAAUGUGUAGAACUGUCUCUUUUAGUUUCAAGGACUUCUUGAUUAUUUGUCUAGAAGAUUUAGGAAGUAGGCUUGGUGCCUGGGGAGGAUGGGAGGCCCCUUAUCUAAGGGGCACUGUAUACAUAUCACUCAGCCUGCCCAGCUGCAGCUGCCAUCUUAUCUCUUCUUACUCUUAAAAAUUUAAGGUGACACUCUUAGCUCUCUCUCAAGUGAUGAUGACCUCAUGUAAUGUAUCUUGCUAUUUUCUGAUUGGGGUAGAUUUCAAGCCUAAAAUUUAAUUCUGGCUUCCAGACAAAGGGAGGAGAGAGGGGGUGGGGAGAACCAAUAUAAUGUUUGUAUUUAUGCCUAGGCAUUUGCAUUUGCCCACCAGGGCAUCAGCCAUUUCUCUGGAAAAAGAAAUAAACUUUUGACUCUUCUACUCUCACUUGAUGACUCCAGAUUUUUAAUUUAUCCUUUUUUUAUCCCACUCAAUUCAGAAAUAAUGACACAGAACUGUUUGAAUCUGUGGAAUGACUGACAGUAGGAAAGGUCUUAUAUCUGAUCAAUAGGAAAAUAGAGGCCCAUUUUGAAAGAGCUUUUAAUAAAUGGAAUGGAGUAGCAAUUGCCAUUCCAUUUUAAAUGAUAAAUGCCUACUAUUUUGAGGUUUUAAAACGUAUUUGCAGAGAUAUUUUACUUCAGAUUCUGUUUUUGUUUCAUUUCAAUUUUUUGCAUUAAAUAUCUAUACACUGUUUUAAAUGAUCAUAUAGGAUAUAUAUCUUGGGCUUCUGCACAGAUUGGUUCUAAUAUAUUUUAGAGCCUAAGUAGAAAGUCACACAUUCAUUAUGAUCACCAUCACUCAGUAGAAGAUAAUUUUUUUAACCUUCCCGUUUUUCUUGUUUUUUUUCCCCUUGGGCUUUAUAGACGACAACACAACCCACAUGCACCAUCAUCUACAAAGAGAAAAAUUUAAGUGCAAUAUGAUUAAUCCAUCUGUGUCCCACAGAGAUCAAAUAAAAAGGAAAAGGACCACUAGGUACAAAAAUGUUCAUAGGGACUCUUUUUUUUUGGUGUCGAAGAAUUGGAAAUUGAGGGAAUACUCAUUAACCUGGGAAUGGCUGAACAAGUCGUGGCAUAUGAGAAAUAUAUAAGAAAUAACUGAAAGUGGUGUGUGGUUUCAUAAAAGGAACAAACGAAGACAAGACAUGGCAAGGUCUGUUUGAACUGAUGCAAAGUGAAGUGAGAAGAGCUAAGAGAUGACUGGGCACAGUUAAGAGUAAUGUGUCCAUGAACUGUGAAAGAUUUAGCUACUCUGAUCAAUACAAUGAUCCAAGAUAGUUCCAAAGGACUCAUGAUGGAAAAAAUUCUAACCACCUCCAGAGAAAGAACUGAUGAACUCUUGAGUGCAAAUUGAAGCACAAUUUUCUCAUUUCCUUAAUUUUUCUUGCUUUUUAAAAAAAUGGCUAAUAUGGAAAUGUCUUGCAUAGUUUCACAAGUAUAAUUGAUAUCACAUUGCUUGCCUUUUCAAAGAGUGGUAGAGGAAAGAAGAAAAUCCGGAAUUCAAAAUGUUAAAAAAGUGGGAUAUUAAAAAUAAAUAUAUUUUAAAAGUCAAAGAAUAAAUAAAUUUCUAGGUCUAACCUUCCUUACUUGUUAAAGAAUAGUAUUAGCCCUACCUCCAUCGUAAAAAAAUGGAAACACUCUUCUGUCUUGUUCUUUCACACACACUCUAUUAACACUAAGGAAGUUGUGAGGGGUCAGAGGAAGUCAGUAAAGUACCCAAGAAGGGCCUCUGGGAAUUUUGGACUCUCUUUUCGAGUUCCUUCUCAUCUGCUAGGCGGGGCACAAUGCCUUCCUCCUAAUCUCCCACCACCAGUAAGAGUCCCAAGUGCACAAAACCUCUUUGGCCGUGCUGUGGCACUCUGAUCGGCUCCUGCAUUUGAUGGGAUGUGAUCGGGCGGCUCCGCAACUUACUUCAAAGGCAUUUUCCUCUGGGCGAUUGGACGGGAUUCUCCUCUGCCCUGAAGGUGUCCUCUUCCUUUCCGAGCUUAAGCUGCUCCCCAGUCAGGUGAUUUUCCCGUGUCCUAGGAAUAUAGUGGACACGAAACCCCAGGAAGCAUAACCAAGAUGCCUUAUGCCUCCUUCUCUUUUCCUUCGUUCUGUACUCCAGAACUCAGUUUCAGUUUUAGGGUUGUUGGGUUUUUUUUUGUUUGUUUUGUUUUUUUAACCUCAAAACAUCUGCAGCUUAAGUUGCAAGGCUGGACCGGGCUCAGUUUUACUUGCCUCUCAGUGGGGCGGGGCUAUCUCUCCGCCAGUGAAAGCCUAGGGCCACCCCGAAGUAGUCCUGCCAAGAAUCUGAGAAUUACCUGCCUGCGGAGUAGCUGGUGAGACAGAUGGGUGCUGCAUGGAAACUUGACGUGAUUACGGCGACUCUGAUGUGAUUCGAAGGACUCCCCUGGGUGAAAUCCUCAGAUCUCUUUACCUUCCUUCGCACUCAUCCACCUACUCACCCCCAGUGACUGAAACCUCAGUGCCUAAAAGCGUUAGAAGUCUCUCCAAAGCAGCUUCUCUGAUCCAGCAGACAAGGAUGAAAAGAAAUCAAGUAUUUUUAUUACUGAAGUUGUUGAAGGAGGUGCAGCCCACACACUUGGAUGAGAACUGGAAUUUGUUGUUGUGGCAUUGGAAAAAAAUAAUAGAAGAUUGUAAAUGUAGAAAAGACCUCAAAGCUAUCUAUGACAAGGUGAGACUACAGUUCCUAUAUACUUCCUUCUCCCCACUAAUGAAAUUUUAUUGAAUGUUGGUUCUGUUCACAAUAGUGAAAGUGGUAGAAUACAGCUAGUGAGAAUGAUUACCAAAGUUAUGAAUAAAAGCCCAUAAUAAUGCAUGUGAGAUAAAUGUUUCCUGUUUCAGACAUUCCCUUGAACAGGCCAAAUAGUCAUUUUGAAUUUUACUAAAAACAUUUAUUGGCUUACCAGGGCUUCUUUCAUAAAUGGUGAGUUGACCAAAAUUUGUAUAUCACUAUUCUAUGCCUGGUUUUAUUUGUCACUUAUGAGACAAUUUAGUAUGGAAACCAUUUGGGAACUCCAGUCUUAUAACUCAUCCACUGCUAAUACAUGAAUUAUUUCAAAUCCCCCAGGCAGCAUGUCUGCUUGAUUGAAAGUGAUCAUCUGGGAUACCCUUCUUCCUUGUUUUCCACCUCCAUCUCAGCUAUUAAUUACUCUUACGUCUUGGAUAAGAAGGUAUUCAGCAACUUUCUUCCUCAUAAUUGUGACAAGGAAAUCACUUUAAAAGACUGAUAUAUAUUAAUUUAAGGUCGCCAAGGAAUUCAGCUAUGUAAUUCCUAAAUGAAAACUCAAGUCAGCAGUCAAUCUUUUAUGGAGUUUAAUUACAAUAGGAGGAAGAAAGGAAUUAGAGAUAGAGAGAGAGAAAAAUGGAGAGAAGGGAAUAGGGCUUAAAUACCCCUUCUGUUUAGGCUGGGCCAAAAGGCCCAAGCCCUUAGAUAGCUGGGGCAAAGAAAAGAGAUCAGUCCCUAUUACUCACGUGACCAAAAUGGAGAAACAGUCUCAGAGGCCCCCACCUUCAGCUUCCUUCAGAGCAAGCUUCUCAGAGGACACCCCCACCACUCAGACAAACUCCUCAACCACCUCCUCGAGUCUUCAGACCCCCCUAUCCUUAAGGAAACCAUCCAAGUUCCCUCCCCUCAGUCCUCACAUCUACCAAUCACCUGUCCAUCAAUUUCUCUGUGCCAAUGGAGGCUCUAGCUUAACCCAGGACCGCCCAGAGGUUUCUGGCUUUGCACAUGUCUGUUGAAGGUCAUAUUUUCAAAUAAUUAAAUCUUUGAUCCUUUGCUACAGCCCUUUCUAAAUCCUGUUAACCUGAGUAGGGUAGAGAUUGAAAUAAUUAAAUUUUGAUCUAGGCUGCAGCCCUUACUCAAUCCUGUUAGGACUGAAUAGGGUGGAGAUUGAUUCCAAGUAUCUCCAUUGUAUCAAUUCUAAAAUCAAUCAUGACUCAAAGAAAUUCCUGUUCUAUGCUUAAGCAUAGGUCAAAGUCCUUUCCAUUGUUCAGCAAAGGGUUUCUGUCCUAAAGUAAUCUUAAGAAGGUAGGAGAAGGAAUCUCCCAUGCCAAUGGGGUUCACAUUCCAAUAGUCAAGACCCACUAUCAAUAGGAAAUUUUUCAAGUAUGAAAUUUCCCAAUGGUGAAAUUUCCAACAUUUAUAAGUCUAAGAAAUUUUGAGGUUUACAUAAUGUGAUGGAGGCCCAUGAGGCUUUACUAUUUUCUCUAUAAAAGAGACUCUGAAAUCCAUUGAAUGCAGAUUGUAACAUGUAUUUUCCUCUAAUUUUAUUUAUUGCAUGGUCAUUGUAACUACUAAUUCAAAGUAUCUCUGGCUAUAUACAAUGCACUACUAAACACUAGAGACAUAAUGAGAAAAACAAAACAAAAAACUAGACAUUUUCUUUUCUUGAAAUGAAGACCUGUAUUGAAACCCUCCUCCUCAUGUCCAUCCUGGAAUAUUUGAAGCUCACUGUCUACUGAUUGUAGCCUCUUGCCAGCGAGAAGCCACAAGAUAAGAAAGAUAAAGAAAGGAUAGUAUUUUAGGAUUCUGCAAAGGGCGUGAUGGAGCCAAGUUCAAGAUGUCAGAAAUGAGUCAGAAACUAGGCUGUAUUGAUUACAAUGGAGCCGCAGCCAUACUCCAACCACUGGACCUCUUUCAAAAAGGCUAAUUCUGUCCAGUGAUCCAAAUUUAAUACCACACCAGUCAGAGGAUGAUAUAGCUUAGCUGGGAGAAUAAACAGAGUAUAGUAGGAUGAAUUAGAGAGUGCUAGAUAUUAGCAUUGGAAAAGAAAGAGGCCUGGCCAAAGGCCAGGUUUCAGGUGAGAGAUAGAGAGAAGAGAGAAGAGAGAAUAGAUAGUGUUAAGCAAUCCUGUGAGGUCUCCGAGAGAGAGAGAGAGA